rnacentral:rRNA from 1 species
CAGCCGUAAACUAUGCGCGUUAGGUGUACUGGUGACCACGAGUCACCGGGGUGCCGAAGGGAAACCGUGAAACGUGCCGCCUGGGAAGUACGGUCGCAAGGCUGAAACUUAAAGGAAUUGGCGGUGGAGCACCACAACGGGUGGAGCCUGCGGUUUAAUUGGACUCAACGCCGGAAAUCUCACCGGAUAGGACAGACAUAUGAUAGUCGGGCUGAAGACUCUACUUGAUGAUCUGAGAGGAGGUGCAUGGCGUCAGUGACU